ensembl:lncRNA FSIP2-AS1 FSIP2 antisense RNA 1
UACAUGAAUCACUCCUACUAAGAGAUCCUGAAAGAGGUCAUCAAAGCCACCAGAAACUAUUCCUGGACAGAGGAGGUUUUAUAGGUGUGGUUGGUCUCCUUACUGACGUGUCAACUACAAAUGCACAGGGUUCUGCCUGAAAUGUUUUAGUUGUUGCAGAUGUGUAGCUUCUAUAUGUAAAGUCUUCACUGCACGUGCUACAGAAACUUGAACUAUCUGAAGAGAGGAUGGAGUCAUCAGAUACUGGGUAUUCUAAAUAGUUACUGUGAAAGGAAAAUAUCUUGGGCCUCCAAAAUCACUGAGCUGAAGGGAAAAUUCAAGCUGGGAACUGCUCAAAGAAAAUCUGCUUCCCAUUCUAUUAAGUCAUCCCUCUGCUCACUGACAUAGUUGCUUAUUCUGAUCGCCUCAUUUAGAAUGGUUUACCAGAAACUCAAAAGAAUGCAACCAUUUGUCUGUCACCUACCUGUGUCCUGGAAGCCCCCUCUGUGCUUCAAGUUGUCCCUGACUUUCUGGAUGGAACCAAUGUACUUCUUCCACAUAUUGAUUGAUGUCUCAUGUCUCCCUAAAAUGUAUAAAACCAAGCUGUGCCCCUACCACCUUGCGCACAUGUCCUCAGGACUUCUUGAGGCUGUGUCAGGGGUGCAUCCUCAACCUCAGCAAAAUAGACUUUCUAAAUUAACUGAGACCUGUCUCAAAUUUUCGGAGUUCACAUUACUGAAUUUUUUGUCUGGUUGUUUGAUCAGUUACUCCCACUAUAAUUGUAAAGUUUUCUAUUCUCUAUGCUCUAUUUUCAUUAUUUCUAAAUACAUUGUUAUAUCUA